rfam:Setaria italica strain Yugu1 chromosome III, whole genome shotgun sequence.
GAGCAAAGGGGCCAGAAAAGUGGCGAUCUUUGCAUUGAAGGUUGGCGACAACGAACUCGACCCUGCAGUUCUCCGUGCCGCGCAGAUUUAACUCUGUUUUGUGACGGCCUCGAACAAGCUGCUACAUC